rnacentral:rRNA from 1 species
UACGUAGGGGCCGAGCGUUGUCCGGAAUUAUUGGGCGUAAGGAGCUCGUAGGCGGCCUGUUGCGUCCGCUGUGAAAGCCCGGGGCUUAACCCCGGGUCGGCAGUGGAUACGGGCAGGCUAGAGGUAGGUAGGGGAGAAUGGAAUUCCCGGUGUAGCGGUGAAAUGCGCAGAUAUCGGGAGGAACACCGGUGGCGAAGGCGGUUCUCUGGGCCUUACCUGACGCUGAGGAGCGAAAGCGUGGGGAGCGAACAGG